GAUGAAUUUAAUGACAUAUACACCUGUCAAAAGUGUAAACAACUCGUUGCCUCAAAAGACCGGAUCAUUGAACUACUAGAGGAUAACAGGUUCCUAAAAGAAUGUCUCGCUCUGGCUAAGGAGACUUCAAGACUGAAUGCACAUCUGAGGUUUCCAGACCUGUAGAUUUCAGGAGCAGCAGAGACCUUACUCCCCCAACAUGUCUUCCCUGAUCGCUGAUAGGAAGUGAACUUGUCUACUGUCACGACUUCCGCCGAAGUGGGCUCCUCUCCUUGUUCGGCCGGCGUUCUGUGGUCAACGUCACCGACUUUCAAGCCAUCGCCGCUCCAUUUUUUAUUGAUCCAUUUGUUUUGGGCUGGAGGUUUUGACACAGUGGCGUCCGUCUGUUGGUUUCUCCUGCCUCAAUAAACUCUCUGCUCUCCUGCACCUGACUUCGCUACCAGUACACACACACCUGACAUCUUCAAAAUAUCCCUGUUUAAAUUAUAGUUUUUAGUAAGACCUGUUGUUGGGAUGUGUAAAAAAAUCUAAAGCCACCGAUCUGACCAAAUAUACUGAGUUACAUUUUUUUUGUCUGGAAAAAGUAGAUUUUUUUUCAACACCCCCAUUAUUAUAUGAACUGUUUUCCCCGUUGUUCUUAAUGAAUGACAAAUUAAGGAAAUGUAUUGGGACAUAUCUGUCAGCAAAAUGCUAUAAAAAGUACAAUCAUGACAUGUAGUUAGAUAUGAGGUGAAAUGUUCCAUAUUUAAAUCUAUAUAAUGAUUGUACAUCAUGCACUGUAACUGAAACUAAAAUACCCACUGUUGAUUAUUCAUUGGAAAUGUAACAAACAAAGAUGAACAACAAUUAAUAAUUGAAGUAGAUUGGGACCUUGUUAGUCAAGAGGAGCAACCCAGCAGACACAGAGCAACCACAGAAUGUUGCCACAACAUUGCCUCAAAGUUGUGUUGUGGCUGUAUAGUAUUGCAAAUUGCAUCUGUCAUUGUAAGCCCUCUGUGUUCUGUCAUUUUUCCCCAGAAUAAACAGUAAGAAUAAAAUGG